rnacentral:rRNA from 1 species
CCUACGGGGUGCAGCAGUGAGGAAUAUUGGUCAAUGGACGCAAGUCUGAACCAGCAACGCCGCGUGAAGGAAGAAGGCUUUCGGGUUGUAAACUUCUUUUAAGAGGGAAGAGCAGAAGACGGUACCUCUUGAAUAAGCCACGGCUAACUACGUGCCAGCAGCCGCGGUAAUACGUAGGUGGCAAGCGUUGUCCGGAUUUACUGGGUGUAAAGGGCGUGUAGCCGGGCUGACAAGUCAGAUGUGAAAUCCGGGGGCUCAACCCCCGAACUGCAUUUGAAACUGUUGGUCUUGAGUAUCGGAGAGGCAGGCGGAAUUCCUAGUGUAGCGGUGAAAUGCGUAGAUAUUAGGAGGAACACCAGUGGCGAAGGCGGCCUGCUGGACGACAACUGACGGUGAGGCGCGAAAGCGUGGGGAGCAAACAGGAUUAGAUACCCCGGUAGUC